UACGAAGGGGGCUAGCGUUGCUCGGAAUUACUGGGCGUAAAGCGCACGUAGGCGGCUUUGUAAGUUAGAGGUGAAAGCCCGGGGCUCAACCCCGGAAUUGCCUUUAAGACUGCAUCGCUUGAAUCCGGGAGAGGUGAGUGGAAUUCCGAGUGUAGAGGUGAAAUUCGUAGAUAUUCGGAAGAACACCAGUGGCGAAGGCGGCUCACUGGACCGGUAUUGACGCUGAGGUGCGAAAGCGUGGGGAGCAAACAGG
rnacentral:rRNA from 1 species